rnacentral:pre_miRNA from 1 species
GGUUUGUUGACAGAAGAUAGAGAGCACAGAUGAUUUUGGGAUGUCGUCAAACCCCACAUCGCCAUCAUUUGUGCUCUCUAUGUUUCUGUCAUCACUUUC